rnacentral:rRNA from 1 species
AUGGAGGCUGGCGGCGCUAGCACGACUACUACGAGGAAGAGGAAAGCAGCCGCGCUCGAGGGCCAUCCGGCGCCGGCGGCAGCGGCGGCCGAUCCCGGAAUGGGCGAAGGCGACGGAGGCAGAUCGGGCGAAGACGGACGAGAUCUCGACCGGCUCAGCAGCCUCCCCGACGCGAUCCUCGGUGAGAUAAUCUCCCUUCUCCCCACCCAGCAAGGUGCUCGCACCAUGAUCCUCGCGUCCCGGUGGCGCCACCUCUGGCGCUCCGCGCCUCUGAACUUCGACUGCCGUCACCUCGCCUGUCCAUGGCCUGGACUCCCUGCUCUCAUGCUGCGCAUCAUCUCCGCCCACCAAGGCCCCGGCCGCCGCUUCUCCACACCAGAGGUGUUGUACACCAUAAACGAUAUAGAUGCCGUGGAGGGCUGUCUCCUGUCCCCCGCUCUGGCUAGGCUCCAGGAGCUUAAGCUCAACAGCUGGAGAGGGCAGCGGCUGCCGGAAUUAGUUUUCCGCUUCUCGGACACCCUCGUUGUUUUCCGCAUUGAACGGUGCAGGCUCCCGGACGCCACCGUCCAAAGAUUUCAUUUCCCUCGGCUUCAGCGGCUCGAAAUUGUUCAUAGCAGCACCUCGGAGUGCUCACUACACAGCAUGAUUGCCGGCUGCCCUUCUCUGGAGUGCUUGCUAAUUUCUCGGUGCGGUGGACCUCGUUGCCUCCGGAUCAAUUCACUUGUCCUCAGAAGCCUUACAGUCAGAAAUUAUUCACUGGGUGGAGCACCCAUAUUAGAGGAAAUCGUCAUCGAGAGUGCCCCUUGCCUUGAAAGACUAUUCCAUCUUAAUCAGAAGCAGGAUUUGCGUGUGUCAGUGCUCUUCGCGCCUAAGUUGGAGACUUUAGGCUGUACCAACUCCACCAGGCUCGUCUUUGGUUCUACAGAUAUUCAGGGAUCGCGCACAAUCAAGUGUUUGGCUCUCAGUAUGCCCACUCUUAGUUUGGCCAUGGUUAUUGGGUUGAUAAGAAGGUUUCCGUGCUUGGAGAAGUUGUACAUUCAGCGCAACACGUCAAGGAAGAACAAUAAUGCGUGGCGUCAUAAAUACCGCGAUCUUCUGAAGAGUCUUGACAUCAUUCUGAAAAUUAUGGUGUUGAAUUGUUAUUCCGGCAGAAAACCUGACGUUGAUUUUGUCACAUUCUUUGCCCUCAACGCUAAACAGCUAGAGUCGAUGACACUUGUGGUCCAGACCGACGAUGAGGACUUCUUAGCAAAACAGCAUCACAAGCUUCAGCUGGAGAAGAGGGCUUCAAGUGGUGCUCGGUUUCAUUUCACAACGGAGCGACGCUAUGAAUUUGGAUACAAAUUAUCCUUUUGA